AUGAACGCUAGCGACAGGCCUAACACAUGCAAGUCAGGGGCAGCACAAGGAGCAAUCUGAGGUGGCGACCGGCGCACGGGUGAGUAACACGUAUGCAACCUGCCUGUAAGCGGGGAAUAACCCGUUGAAAGACGGACUAAUACCGCAUAAUACUAAAUUACUGCAUGGUAAUUUAUUUAAACAUUUAUGGCUUACAGAUGGGCAUGCGCAUGAUUAGCUAGUUGGAGAGGUAACGGCUCCCCAAGGCAACGAUCAUUAGGGGUUCUGAGAGGAAGGUCCCCCACACUGGUACUGAGACACGGACCAGACUCCUACGGGAGGCAGCAGUGAGGAAUAUUGGUCAAUGGACGAGAGUCUGAACCAGCCAAGUCGCGUGCAGGAAGAAUGUCCCUAUGGAUUGUAAACUGCUUUUGCAGGGGAAUAAAGUGCAUCACGCGUGAUGUUUUGUAUGUACUCUGCGAAUAAGGAUCGGCUAACUCCGUGCCAGCCGCGGC
rnacentral:rRNA from 1 species